AGGGUGCAAGCGUUAAUCGGAAUUACUGGGCGUAAGCGAGCGUAGGUGGCUUGAUAAGUCAGAUGUGAAAUCCCCGGGCUUAACCUGGGAACUGCAUCUGAAACUGUUAGGCUAGAGUAGGUGAGAGGGAAGUAGAAUUUCAGGUGUAGCGGUGAAAUGCGUAGAGAUCUGAAGGAAUACCGAUGGCGAAGGCAGCUUCC
rnacentral:rRNA from 1 species